rnacentral:rRNA from 1 species
CAGUAGCCGCGGGAAUACGUAGGGUGCGAGCGUUAAUCGGAAUUACUGGGCGUAAAGCGUGCGCAGGCGGUUAUAUAAGACAGAUGUGAAAUCCUCGGGCUCAACCUGGGACCUGCAUUUGUGACUGUAUAGCUAGAGUACGGUAGAGGGGGAUGGAAUUCCGCGUGUAGCAGUGAAAUGCGUAGAUAUGCGGAGGAACACCGAUGGCGAAGGCAAUCCCCUGGACCUGUACUGACGCUCAUGCACGAAAGCGUGGGGAGCAAACAGGAUUAGAUACCCCAGUAGUCCCUGUCUCUUAUUC